AGAGUUUGAUCCUGGCUCAGGAUGAACGCUAGCGGGAGGCUUAACACAUGCAAGUCGAGGGGCAGCACGGGGUAGCAAUAUCCUGGUGGCGACCGGCGCACGGGUGAGUAACGCGUAUGCAACCUACCCUGUACAGGGGGAUAGCCCGGAGAAAUUCGGAUUAAUACCCCAUAAAGAUAUCGAGAGGCAUCUUUUGAUAUUUAAAGAUUUAUCGGUACGGGAUGGGCAUGCGUAACAUUAGCUAGUUGGUAGGGUAACGGCCUACCAAGGCAACGAUGUUUAGGGGUCCUGAGAGGGUGAUCCCCCACACUGGUACUGAGACACGGACCAGACUCCUACGGGAGGCAGCAGUGAGGAAUAUUGGUCAAUGGGCGUAAGCCUGAACCAGCCAUCCCGCGUGCAGGAAGACGGCGCUAUGCGUUGUAAACUGCUUUUCCAGGGGAAGAAAACUUCCGACGUGUCGGGACUUGCCGGUACCUUGGGAAUAAGCAUCGGAUAACUCCGUGCCAGCAGCCGCGGUAAUACGGAGGAUGCGAGCGUUAUCCGGAUUUAUUGGGUUUAAAGGGUGCGUAGGCGGAUUAAUAAGUCAGUGGUGAAAACCUUCAGCUUAACUGGAGAACUGCCAUUGAUACUGUUAGUCUUGAGUACGGUCAAGGUAGGCGGAAUGUGUAAUGUAGCGGUGAAAUGCUUAGAUAUUACACAGAACACCGAUUGCGAAGGCAGCUUACUGGGCCAUUACUGACGCUGAUGCACGAAAGCGUGGGGAGCGAACAGGAUUAGAUACCCUGGUAGUCCACGCCGUAAACGAUGAUCACUCGCUGUUAGCGAUACACAGUUAGCGGCAAAGCAAAAGCAUUAAGUGAUCCACCUGGGGAGUACGGCCGCAAGGCUGAAACUCAAAGGAAUUGACGG
rnacentral:rRNA from 1 species